AUCCAAACUUUGACUGCACAUCUACUAAACUUGAAGCAAUGUAGAGAGCAGCAUGAUGUCUGUGCAAGUAUGACACACAGAUUUGUGAAGCAUUCCAUAUUUUA
rnacentral:snRNA from 14 species